rnacentral:lncRNA from 1 species
ACAGCUUCUAAGCGAGAUAGGAUGUUGAAGAGGCAGUUGGCAGAGCAACAGCAGCCAGUAUUGGAAUUCUGGGACCGAGUCCUCCAUUUUUUUCAGACCAACAAAUCCAGAAGAGGAAAUGGGCUGCAUGGACCCAACGCCUAGCUGUGAACAACUCAAGUGUUUCCCAGGUCUCAUGCCCAGCAGGUCUGAUCCCCCUGGUAUGGUGCUUGCAGCUCACAGCACAUGGCACUGUAAGGCCCUUUCUGACCCUUGACCAGCAACAGGCAAGGCUGGUGGUUUCUUUGCUGCUUUUGUCUGUGCAAGGAUUGCACAGAGAUAGCCCAUGGAUACAAGACAGGUAUUCAGGACAAAUGAACUCUGUGAGUUUGAUGACUGGGAACUUGAUCUCACUCAACUGGGGGACAUGGCCAUAGAGUACAGCAUGUGUGCUUCAGGAGACAAUGCUUAACCUUAAGCAGGCCACCCUCUGAUCUCCUCAAACUGUCUAAGGCUUUAUGAUGCAUGGUGCUCGCGCCUAUGUCCAAUCUGGAUGAAGUUGACAGAGGUAGAGAUCUUACCAGCAUCUAACCUGAGAUCCCUGCCUAGUCUUGAGAUGAGCAACUGUUUAAAAACCUGUGUCCACAAUCUAUUUGUGUGUAUCUGCAAAUGAAGGCAGACAACCUGAGAGAACCCAGGAAAACCAGUGGAAGAAUUUUCCAUUUACGAGCUGGAGAAAGCACCUAGAAACCUUGCUUUGGUUGUUGUUGGUGAAUGCAGCUACCACCCCUCAUUAACCAAGCCUGCCUUUUUAGCAAAUGGAGACCAUCACGGAAAAUCAUGACUGGAGAUCCACAGAUCCUGGGACAUCCAGCCCCAACAGAAACAUCUGCAACACAGCUUCUGUGUCUAUGGCUCAAGGAACAUCAUUGAAGAAGGAAUGGAAAGCCUCUGAGAGCCACAGUACCAGGAAGUAUGAUAGAAUCAAUCUCUCCUAGAAUUGGCUGCAUAAGCAAGACCAGAGCACCGCAUUAUCAAUGGGCAUGCUAACAUGGAACAGGGAAGUUUUUACAGACUCCCGUUCCUACAAAGGGCUAAAGGCAGCAAAUGACUCCUGGUAGAGGAAUUAGCCUCUCGUGUGGAUGAGUGUUCUUGUCCAAUGCAGACACGAUAUGGAAACAACCCAAAUGUUCUUCAGCAGAUGAAUGGA